rnacentral:rRNA from 1 species
CUUGGGUACUCGAGUGGCGAACGGGUGAGUAACACGCGGGUGAUCUGCCCUGCACUUCGGGAUAAGCCUGGGAAACUGGGUCUAAUACCGGAUAGGACCACAUUUUGGAUGGUGUGGUGGAAAGUUUUUCGGUGUGGGAUGAGCUCGCGGCCUAUCAGCUUGUUGGUGGGGUAAUGGCCUACCAAGGCGUCGACGGGUAGCCGGCCUGAGAGGGUGUACGGCCACAUUGGGACUGAGAUACGGCCCAG